rnacentral:sRNA from 1 species
CGGGUGAAGCCGUCGGCGGUACGCCAACCUGCGCGCAUUCGUGCAGACCGCCCUGCUGGCGUCAGAGCAGCGACGAUGACGCGCCCG